rnacentral:rRNA from 1 species
CAGUCGCCGCGGUAAUACGAAGGGGGCUAGCGUUGCUCGGAAUGACUGGGCGUAAAGGGCGCGUAGGCGGAUCACGCAGUCAGAUGUGAAAUUCCUGGGCUUAACCUGGGGGCUGCAUUUGAGACGCGUAGUCUAGAGUGUGAAAGAGGGUCGUGGAAUUCCCAGUGUAGAGGUGAAAUUCGUAGAUAUUGGGAAGAACACCGGUGGCGAAGGCGGCGACCUGGUUCAUAACUGACGCUGAGGCGCGAAAGCGUGGGGAGCAAACAGGAUUAGAUACCCCCGUAGUCCCUGUCUCUUAUAA